rnacentral:rRNA from 1 species
GGAAAGGCGCGCGAUACAGGGUGACAGCCCCGUACACAAAAAUGCACAUGCUGUGAGCUCGAUGAGUAGGGCGGGACACGUGGUAUCCUGUCUGAAUAUGGGGGGACCAUCCUCCAAGGCUAAAUACUCCUGACUGACCGAUAGUGAACCAGUACCGUGAGGGAAAGGCGAAAAGAACCCCGGCGAGGGGAGUGAAAAAGAACCUGAAACCGUGUACGUACAAGCAGUGGGAGCACGCUUAGGCGUGUGACUGCGUACCUUUUGUAUAAUGGGUCAGCGACUUAUAUUCUGUAGCAAGGUUAACCGAAUAGGGGAGCCGAAGGGAAACCGAGUCUUAACUGGGCGUUAAGUUGCAGGGUAUAGACCCGAAACCCGGUGAUCUAGCCAUGGGCAGGUUGAAGGUUGGGUAACACUAACUGGAGGACCGAACCGACUAAUGUUGAAAAAUUAGCGGAUGACUUGUGGCUGGGGGUGAAAGGCCAAUCAAACCGGGAGAUAGCUGGUUCUCCCCGAAAGCUAUUUAGGUAGCGCCUCGUGAAUUCAUCUCCGGGGGUAGAGCACUGUUUCGGCAAGGGGGUCAUCCCGACUUACCAACCCGAUGCAAACUGCGAAUACCGGAGAAUGUUAUCACGGGAGACACACGGCGGGUGCUAACGUCCGUCGUGAAGAGGGAAACAACCCAGACCGCCAGCUAAGGUCCCAAAGUCAUGGUUAAGUGGGAAACGAUGUGGGAAGGCCCAGACAGCCAGGAUGUUGGCUUAGAAGCAGCCAUCAUUUAAAGAAAGCGUAAUAGCUCACUGGUCGAGUCGGCCUGCGCGGAAGAUGUAACGGGGCUAAACCAUGCACCGAAGCUGCGGCAGCGACGCUGAUGCGUUGUUGGGUAGGGGAGCGUUCUGUAAGCCUGCGAAGGUGUGCUGUGAGGCAUGCUGGAGGUAUCAGAAGUGCGAAUGCUGACAUAAGUAACGAUAAAGCGGGUGAAAAGCCCGCUCGCCGGAAGACCAAGGGUUCCUGUCCAACGUUAAUCGGGGCAGGGUGAGUCGACCCCUAAGGCGAGGCCGAAAGGCGUAGUCGAUGGGAAACAGGUUAAUAUUCCUGUACUUGGUGUUACUGCGAAGGGGGGACGGAGAAGGCUAUGUUGGCCGGGCGACGGUUGUCCCGGUUUAAGCGUGUAGGCUGGUUUUCCAGGCAAAUCCGGAAAAUCAAGGCUGAGGCGUGAUGACGAGGCACUACGGUGCUGAAGCAACAAAUGCCCUGCUUCCAGGAAAAGCCUCUAAGCAUCAGGUAACAUCAAAUCGUACCCCAAACCGACACAGGUGGUCAGGUAGAGAAUACCAAGGCGCUUGAGAGAACUCGGGUGAAGGAACUAGGCAAAAUGGUGCCGUAACUUCGGGAGAAGGCACGCUGAUAUGUAGGUGAAGUCCCUCGCGGAUGGAGCUGAAAUCAGUCGAAGAUACCAGCUGGCUGCAACUGUUUAUUAAAAACACAGCACUGUGCAAACACGAAAGUGGACGUAUACGGUGUGACGCCUGCCCGGUGCCGGAAGGUUAAUUGAUGGGGUUAGCGCAAGCGAAGCUCUUGAUCGAAGCCCCGGUAAACGGCGGCCGUAACUAUAACGGUCCUAAGGUAGCGAAAUUCCUUGUCGGGUAAGUUCCGACCUGCACGAAUGGCGUAAUGAUGGCCAGGCUGUCUCCACCCGAGACUCAGUGAAAUUGAACUCGCUGUGAAGAUGCAGUGUACCCGCGGCAAGACGGAAAGACCCCGUGAACCUUUACUAUAGCUUGACACUGAACAUUGAGCCUUGAUGUGUAGGAUAGGUGGGAGGCUUUGAAGUGUGGACGCCAGUCUGCAUGGAGCCGACCUUGAAAUACCACCCUUUAAUGUUUGAUGUUCUAACGUUGACCCGUAAUCCGGGUUGCGGACAGUGUCUGGUGGGUAGUUUGACUGGGGCGGUCUCCUCCUAAAGAGUAACGGAGGAGCACGAAGGUUGGCUAAUCCUGGUCGGACAUCAGGAGGUUAGUGCAAUGGCAUAAGCCAGCUUGACUGCGAGCGUGACGGCGCGAGCAGGUGCGAAAGCAGGUCAUAGUGAUCCGGUGGUUCUGAAUGGAAGGGCCAUCGCUCAACGGAUAAAAGGUACUCCGGGGAUAACAGGCUGAUACCGCCCAAGAGUUCAUAUCGACGGCGGUGUUUGGCACCUCGAUGUCGGCUCAUCACAUCCUGGGGCUGAAGUAGGUCCCAAGGGUAUGGCUGUUCGCCAUUUAAAGUGGUACGCGAGCUGGGUUUAGAACGUCGUGAGACAGUUCGGUCCCUAUCUGCCGUGGGCGCUGGAGAACUGAGGGGGGCUGCUCCUAGUACGAGAGGACCGGAGUGGACGCAUCACUGGUGUUCGGGUUGUCAUGCCAAUGGCACUGCCCGGUAGCUAAAUGCGGAAGAGAUAAGUGCUGAAAGCAUCUAAGCACGAAACUUGCCCCGAGAUGAGUUCUCCCUGACUCCUUGAGAGUCCUGAAGGAACGUUGAAGACGACGACGUUGAUAGGCCGGGUGUGUAAGCGCAGCGAUGCGUUGAGCUAACCGGUACUAAUGAACCGUGAG